AGGAAGUAAAAGUCGUAACAAGNUUUCCNUAGGUGAACNUGCGGAAGGAUCAUUAUCGUAAACAACCCAGAGGCGCAAGGGGGGGCUGUCUGCUGACCUUUCAAAGGGGUCGUGCACGCUCCCCCGGGUGUCCUCGCAACAAUCCACCUCACCUUUGUGCAUCACCGCGUGGGUUCCUCGAUAAAAAGAGGGGCUUGCGUUCUUUUCACAUACACACGCAGUAUUAGAACGUCGUUUACACGCGUAGAACGCGAUGAAUACAACUUUCAACAACGGAUCUCUUGGCUCUCGCAUCGAUGAAGAACGCAGCGAAAUGCGAUACGUAAUGUGAAUUGCAGAAUUCAGUGAAUCAUCGAAUCUUUGAACGCAUCUUGCGCCCCUUGGCAUUCCGAGGGGCACACCCGUUUGAGUGUCGUGAAAUCCUCAACCUUUCCUCUUCAUUUGGGAGAGAAAGGCUUGGACGUUGGAGGCUUUUGCUGGCCCCUCCCUGCGUGGAGCCAGCUCCUCUUAAAGGAAUUAGUGGGGUCCCCUUUCGCCGAUCCUGGACGUGAUAAGCUUUCUUUGACGUCGCAUUGAGAGGUGAAGAGGCCCGCUUCUAAAAACCAAAAACCACGCACGGUGUCUUUUGACCUCAAAUCGGGUGAGANUACCCGNUGAACUUAAGCAUAUCAAUAAGCGGAGGAAAAGAAACUAACAAGGAUUCCCCUAGNAACUGCGAGUGAAGCGGGAAAAGUCUUGGUCAUUUAGAGGAAGUAAAAUUAAUUAUUUUAGUAUAGC
rnacentral:sRNA from 1 species